AUGGGUAUGGGUCCCGAAAGGCAGAUCCCCCGAGCUGGUACUGAAACACCGACCAUACUCCUACGGGAGGCAUUGGUGAGGAAUAUUGGACAACCGGCACACGUCUGAUCCACCCAUGCCGCUCGAAAGAUGACAGACUUAUUGAUUGCAAACUGCUUUUGUUUUGAAGAAACNCUCCNNAUUNUUGGAGCUUGACGGUACUGUUAAACUAAUGAUCGCCUAACUCCGUGCAACAGCCGCGAUAAUACAGAUAAUCAAAACGUUUCCGGAAUCAUUGGGGCUUAAGGGUCCGCAGGAGACUUAUAUGUCAUCGGUGAAAUCUCCCUGCUCAACUNAAAACUUCCAUUGUUACUGUAGGACUUGAAU
rnacentral:rRNA from 1 species